rnacentral:rRNA from 1 species
CAUGGCUCAGAUUGAACGCUGGCGGCAGGCCUAACACAUGCAAGUCGAGCGCGAAAGCACUUCGGUGUGAGUAGAGCGGCGGACGGGUGAGUAACGCGUAGGAAUCUACCUAGUAGUGGGGGACAACUCGGGGAAACUCGAGCUAAUACCGCAUAAGCCCUACGGGGGAAAGCGGGGGACCUUCGGGCCUCGUGCUAUUAGAUGAGCCUGCGUUGGAUUAGCUAGUUGGUGGGGUAAAGGCCUACCAAGGCGACGAUCCAUAGCUGGUCUGAGAGGAUGAUCAGCCACACCGGGACUGAGACACGGCCCGGACUCCUACGGGAGGCAGCAGUGGGGAAUAUUGCGCAAUGGGCGAAAGCCUGGCGCAGCCAUGCCGCGUGUGUGAAGAAGGCCUUCGGGUUGUAAAGCACUUUCAAUUGGGAGGAAAGGUUCACGGCUAAUAACCGUGAGCUGUGACGUUACCUUUAGAAGCAGCCCCGGCUAACUCCGUGCCAGCAGCCGCGGUAAUACGGAGGGUGCGAGCGUUAAUCGGAAUUACUGGGCGUAAAGCGCGCGUAGGUGGUCUGUUAAGUCGGAUGUGAAAGCCCCGGGCUCAACCUGGG